AACGAACGCUGGCGGCAUGCCUAACACAUGCAAGUCGAACGAGACCUUCGGGUCUAGUGGCGCACGGGUGCGUGACGCGGGGGAGCCUGCCCGUAGGUUCGGUAUCACUCCCCGUGAGGUGUGCUAAGACCGGAUAAGGUCUUCGGACCAAAGAUUUAUGGCCUUUGGAUGGGCCCGUGUUAGAUUAGCUAGUUGGUAGGGUAAAAGCCGACCAAGGCGACGAUCCAUAGCUGGUCUGGGAGGAUGCUCAGCCACACUGGGGCUGCGACACGGCCCACACUGCUACGGAAGGCAGCAGUAGAGAAUAUUGGACACUGGGCGAAAGUGUGAUCCAGCAGUGCGGCGUGAGUGAUGCAGGGCUUAGGGUUGUAAAGCUGUUUUACACGGGAUGAUAAUGACAGUACCGGGAGAAUAAGCUCCGGCUAACUCCGUG
rnacentral:rRNA from 1 species